UAUCCCUAAAGCUAUAUUUAGAAAAAAAGACAUAAGUAUUUUAUGCCAAGAAUCCAAAUAAUCACUAGCACUCAGCCUAGUUAUAAGUCAUAAAAGAACCUAAGAACAUAUAUAAUCAAAUGAGAUAACCAAUAAAAAUGUUAAGAACAUUGUUAAACAAUAUUAUCCACAAAAAAAGUAAUAAACAUUGUUGGGUAUAAAAUACCCACAGCCGAAACCCUCAACGGAAUCGACAUAAGUGCAGCUCUGCCCGGGCUCCCACGGGAGCUGGGCUCCACCGACGACAGCA
rnacentral:lncRNA from 1 species